UGGAACUUAUUUUGGACAGG
rnacentral:miRNA from 1 species